UGCGCGACUCCUGCGGGCCGAGCGCGCGAGAAGCGAGAGACCGCGCUGAGGGCCGCGGUCCCGGUGUGCUUGUUAAACAACCCGAAAAGUCGGGCCUUGGGGCUCCUCAUGUGGAUCCUCGGCUGCCCCCACGCAGUCCGUACAAGGUAGCCCUGCCCUCAGAAAUAUGGGCAUUUUCCUUAUAUCCUAAAGAAGUAAAGUGUAGUUGAACAACGUAUGUGUUUGCGUUUCAGGAAGUGGUUGCUUUUUAGGAAGGCAACAGUGUGGAAUGGGAGAGAUGAGAAAACUUUCUUUUGCACCAUAUCUUUUGUAGCUUUUGAAUUUUGCCAUAUAUGGCAACCUUGCCUGUUUAAAAUAAACACUACCAAAGAACUUUAAAAUUGCAUUUGUUGGAAUACUUUUUUGGGCUGUGCUGAGUAUUGAACCCAAGGUCUUGCCCUAACCUACAUCCCCAACCUUUUUUUUUUUUUUUUUGCUGGGGGUGUGUGUGUCUCACUGAUUUGCCUAUUCCUGGUUGGAAGUUGUGACCAUCCUGCUUUGGCCGCCAGAGUGCUGGGAUUACAGAGCCUCAUUCAUCUGCUUUGUUACUUCAUCACCACUUCAGAGAGUCCAGUGCUCUCCCUAAAGAACAAGGAAGAUCUUUCCCAGAAACCUUCAGUCCAGCUUCUCUGUCUCACUAGCCAGAAUGGGAUAAGAUACUCCUUUCCCAACAGAGAGUGAAAGAAGAGUAAGGCCAUCUCAGGCUCAUAAGCCACAGCCUU